rnacentral:lncRNA from 1 species
AUGACCAACAGUCAUUUAUACCAUAGCCCUAUGUUCCAUUUAUCAUAAUCAUGUUUAAUCAAUUAACCAUGGUUCCAUCACUGAUUUCAGAUCAUAUAUAAUUGGAGUUAGAGCACUAGCACUUCUACCCAUAUGCAAUAAAAGCCCUCGGGAACAAGGUAAUUGUCAUCAACAGCUAGUAUGUCCUUAUAGUUUGCAAUAUUAUACACAUGCAGGGUGAAAUGCUUAAAAAUGAGUAGGACAACAAGGUAGGCCCAUGCUAUACUUGCCUCGAUUCACGUACUCCUGCUGGUCUUGCUGGUCCCCAAAGAGCUCCGAACUCCCGAAAUACUCCUCACCGUCUGGGCUCGAUCAAUACAUCACAAUCAUCACGCAUACCUAGACAAACAUGCAAGAGAACAAUUGCCUAAUGUUAGAACAGUACACCAGCAGUAAAUAAAUUAAAUAAAAGUUUUUCCAAAGUCAUCUACGUGCUGCUACGAUCACGUCAACGCGAAAUUCACGAAAAACGGACUUACGACGCGAAAGUUACGCUUUUAAUGAGAUUUUAAUAGCAAUCUACGGACUUGUAAUUAACUAGGAUAUCUAACAGUGGUAAACCUAAACAACAGUGGUACCAAUGCGAAGCUUACGAAAUUACAAAACUAACGCAACUUGAACGGAUCGAUUCGGAGUUCAAACGACGAUUUUAUAGCUAAAACAAUGUGGUGGCAAUUCUGUAAAUAAAGCAGAGUUUAAACGAAUUUAAAUAAAUGAAUUAAAUCCUGGAAAUUCCUCUGGCCGAGGACUGCGCGCGCAAAAAUUGGAUUCCUGGGGGGCUCUUUAACAAAAUAUCAUAUGAAAGGGUAUCAAGUGAUUCUGGCCGUUGGAUCAAGUUUGAACGCACUAGAUUAAAAUAAAAAAAAUAAAAAAAGAGAGAGAGGAAGGGGACGGCGCACAGGCCAGCUCCGGCAAGAACACGGUGGCCACCAUGGCCGGCCGCAAGGAAGCUCGCCGGAGCAAGAGAAUAAGGACCUACGGUGCAUGGUUUUCAAUUCCGAUUGAACUGGGAGAAAGAGGAGAGCGAUGCGAGUCCAUUCCAAACCAUAAACGCGGUCGAGGAGGCGGUUUCCCAGAAGGUUCACGGCGACGCCAUGAACGCCCCGUCGGAGCUCGCGGAACUGGGACUCUGGGCCACGAUUCGCUCGGCAACAGGACAGGGAGGGAGCGGGAAGGGAGAUGAAGCUCACCUCGGCGCCAAAUCGCAGCGAAAACGACUCGGGACGGCGGCUUCACGCGGCGGUCGCCGCGGCGGUUCUUGUGCGACUUCUCAGAACUCUCGCGAGAUGAGAGAGAGCGAGGAGGAGAAAAUGAGAGGGGGGGGAAGCGGCUUCGGGCGCGGGCGCGGGCGCUCUCCACUACAUAGCCGAGACACG